GACGAACCGUGCGAACGUUAUUCGGAAUCACUGGGCUUAAAGCGUGUGUAGGCGGACUUCUAAGUGCCUUAUGAAAUCCCACGGCUCACCCGUGGAACUGCUGGGCAUACUGGGAGUCUUGAGCCACCUAGGGGCGAGCGGAACAAAUGGUGGAGCGGUGAAUGACGUAGAUAUCAUUUGGAAUCGGACCAACCAGGAGAAAUCAGCUCGCUGGGGGUGUGCUGACGCUGAGACACGAAAGCCAGGGGAGCGAACGGG
rnacentral:rRNA from 1 species